rnacentral:misc_RNA from 1 species
GAUGAAGAACGUAGCGAAAUGCGAUAAUUAAUGUGAAUUGCAGAAUUCCGUGAAUCAUCGAGUCUUUGAACGCACAUUGCGCCUCAUGGCAUUCCGUGAGGCAUGCCCAUCUCAGCGUUAGAAAAUAUUCUCAAAUUUUAGUUUUGUGCUAAAAUUUGGAUCAUGUCAAGGAAGCUAUUACUAUUAUUGUGAUCGCUCUUUGGAAAUUGAUAGGUCUUUGAGUUGCUACUCAUAGAACGUGAUGAAUCUUUCUUCGUUCUAUUGUAAUUCACUCUCGUAGUCCUAAAACUUGUAUGCCUGUGGCAUAUCUUGUAAUUUGACCUGAGAUUGGGUAGGGAUACCCGCUGAACUUAAGCAUAUCAAUAAGCGGAGGA